AUUGAACGCUGGCGGCAUGCCUUACACAUGCAAGUCGAACGGUAACAGGUCUUCGGAUGCUGACGAGUGGCGAACGGGUGAGUAAUACAUCGGAACGUGCCUAGUAGUGGGGGAUAACUACUCGAAAGAGUGGCUAAUACCGCAUGAGAUCUACGGAUGAAAGCAGGGGAUCGCAAGACCUUGUGCUACUAGAGCGGCCGAUGGCAGAUUAGGUAGUUGGUGGGAUAAAAGCUUACCAAGCCGACGAUCUGUAGCUGGUCUGAGAGGACGAUCAGCCACACUGGGACUGAGACACGGCCCAGACCCCUACGGGAGGCAGCAGUGGGGAAUUUUGGACAAUGGGCGCAAGCCUGAUCCAGCAAUGCCGCGUGCAGGAUGAAGGCCUUCGGGUUGUAAACUGCUUUUGUACGGAACGAAAAGCCUGGGGCUAAUAUCCCCGGGUCAUGACGGUACCGUAAGAAUAAGCACCGGCUAACUACGUGCCAGCCGCCGCCGUAAGAC
rnacentral:rRNA from 1 species